CCUUUGCCGGCGACCGGCGCACGGGUGAGUAACACGUAUGCAACCUGCCUUCUUCAGGGGGACAACCUUCCGAAAGGGAGGCUAAUCCCGCGUAUAUCGGUUUCGGGCAUCCGAGAUCGAGGAAAGAUUCAUCGGAAGAGGAUGGGCAUGCGGCGCAUUAGCUAGACGGCGGGGUAACGGCCCACCGUGGCGACGAUGCGUAGGGGUUCUGAGAGGAAGGUCCCCCACACUGGUACUGAGACACGGACCAGACUCCUACGGAAGGCAGCAG
rnacentral:rRNA from 1 species